CCUAGUAACGGCGAGUGAAGCGCGCAAUAGCUCAAAUUUGAAAGCUGGCCUUUGGUCCGCAUUGUAAUUUGUAGAGGAUGCUUUUAGGCAGCCGCCGGUCUAAGUUCCUUGGAACAGGACGUCAUAGAGGGUGAGAAUCCCGUAUGUGACCGGCUCAGGCACCUUCUGUAAAGCUCCUUCGACGAGUCGAGUUGUUUGGGAAUGCAGCUCUAAAUGGGAGGUAAAUUUCUUCUAAAGCUAAAUACUGGCGAGAGACCGAUAGCGCACAAGUAGAGUGAUCGAAAGAUGAAAAGUACUUUGGAAAGAGAGUUAAAAAGCACGUGAAAUUGUUGAAAGGGAAGCGCUUGCAAUCAGACUUGGCCUCGGUUGUUCAACCGGUCUUUUGACCGGCCUAUUCAAUCGGGGGCAGGCCAGCAUCAGUUUCGGCGGCCGGAUAAAGGCCUUGGGAAUGUGGCCUCUCCUUCGGGGGAGGUGUUAUAGCCCAGGGUGUAAUACGGUCAGCUGGGACUGAGGUCCGCGCUUCGGCUAGGAUGCUGGCGUAAUGGUUGUAAGCGGCCCGUCUUGAAACACGGACCAAGGAGUCUAACAUCUAUGCGAGUGUUAGGGUGUCAAACCCUUACGCGUAAUGAAAGUGAACGGAGGUGGGAACCCGCAAGGGUGCACCAUCGACCGAUCCUGAUGUCUUCGGAUGGAUUUGAGUAAGAGCAUAGCUGUUGGGACCCGAAAGAUGGUGAACUAUGCCUGAAUAGGGUGAAGCCAGAGGAAACUCUGGUGGAGGCUCGCAGCGGUUCUGACGUGCAAAUCGAUCGUCAAAUUUGGGGUAUAG
rnacentral:rRNA from 1 species